AGGGAGUUGUACAAGAUACCGGCACAUGUAAAGCGCAUGCGUACGCGUGCGCAGUGCUAUGCUAGUGGUCGGAAGAUGGCGUUGAGUAUGUUCGACUCGGAGACUGCUGCAGUGCACUGGAAAAAUCGUGUUUAAUCUCCGUUUUAGAAAAUGAAAGAUUUGGGGGUGACAAACCUGCUUCAAGAGUGAGACUUCCCACAUUUAGUUCCAAUCUUUAGAGUUAAAUGUUGCAGAAGAUGAGCACGAAGAAGACACCUACUGGAUGCAAUAUUACUCAUCACCUGACAACAUUGUUGUUAAUGUGACGAACCUCGGUACCGAGAUAUGAGUUGACUAGAGGAAACCCGCGACCAAGCACAGCAGAAAUUCUUGACAAAUAUCUACAGCUUUUGGGAAUGAUUGAUCAAGACUUUGAUUUAACAAUUGAUGCAGCUCCUGGUGCCCUUUUCACAAUGUGGCCAAAGUUGUCCAGGCAGACUUUGGAAUUUGCGGAGAUUAAUCCAGGGUAUAGAAAGAUCCUAGGGGCUGGAGUGGACCAGAAAAUGACGCAGAGUCAACAAUGAAGAAAAUUUGGCUUUCAGUACUUCCUGGGAUUUUGAUCGGCAGAACGAAAGGGGAAUGAGGCAAAUUAAAUGUGCCGUACUUCAAAGUCUUGAAUCUUUCAUCAAUCUCCAAUUAGAAGGAGCAUGAAGAAAAAGAAGAUGAACAGGAAUUGACAAUGGCGCGUUCCAUACCUGGGAGUGAUUGCACAGUGGCACCCUUGGACCUAAUUUCACCCUGACAUCAAGUUGGUUUUAAGGAGAACCAUGAGAGAAAUUAAUAAAUUAAAGUUUGCCGAAUAUCAAAGAAUAACAGAGUUAUGAGGCUUCAAAGUUUUAAAUUUGUGACAUGACAUGCGAGCAGCUCCCAAUAUGUCAAUCAUGUAAUAUAAAUUCCAUAAAUUGCCAUUUUUUAAUGGUUUUCAUGAUAAUUAAAUGGGUUUUUAUCAGAAGCUUGUAUGAAAUAAUGUUUCUGAUAACAUUGAAUCCACAGGUAAAAUCAUUUUCCAAUUUCCCUAGAAAAGGCACUUGUAUAGAAUUGAUAUCACAUAAAAUAUGGGGAGCUGCUCGCAUGUGAAGUCACAAAUUUAAAACUUCAUAACUCUUAUUCUUGGUGGAUUUUCACCAACUAACAUGCAAUGUCAGGAUGAACCUUGCCUUUAAACCUUAUAUUGGCAGCCUUUCAUUGACAUUUACAUACAGUAUUUUAGGUUUUGUGAGCAAGUAUAUGAAAAAGGUGCUAAUUAACACCUACUUCCCCUUAACCCUAAACAGGCUGGGGGGGGGUUAAAACAACCUUCCCCCAACAUUAUCUGCGAUCAUUCCUCUGCGGGAGAUUUGUUGACCCUGCCACUCUCAGAGUUUAUACUAAGUCUCGCGCAUCUUUUGAGACCAAAUUUACGAUGCCCAGGUACGUUGUCCCGAAAUUAUGCAACAUUUCGUAAGU
rnacentral:lncRNA from 1 species